rnacentral:rRNA from 1 species
AACGAAUGCUGGCGGCAGGCUUAACACAUGCAAGUCGAACGCCCCGCAAGGGGAGUGGCAGACGGGUGAGUAACGCGUGGGAACAUACCCUUUCCUGCGGAAUAGCUCUGGGAAACUGGAAUUAAUACCGCAUACGCCCUACGGGGGAAAGAUUUAUCGGGGAAGGAUUGGCCCGCGUUGGAUUAGCUAGUUGGUGGGGUAAAGGCCUACCAAGGCGACGAUCCAUAGCUGGUCUGAGAGGAUGAUCAGCCACAUUGGGACUGAGACACGGCCCAAACUCCUACGGGAGGCAGCAGUGGGGAAUAUUGGACAAUGGGCGCAAGCCUGAUCCAGCCAUGCCGCGUGAGUGAUGAAGGCCUUAGGGUUGUAAAGCUCUUUCACCGAUGAAGAUAACGACGGUACCCGGAGAAGAAGCUCCGGCUAACUUCGUGCCAGCCGCCGCUGUAAGAC